rnacentral:rRNA from 1 species
CAGUCGACGGUAACGGUCUUUCGGGAUGCUGACGAGUGGCGAACGGGUGAGUAAUACAUCGGAACGUGCCUAGUAGUGGGGGAUAACUACUCGAAAGAGUGGCUAAUACCGCAUGAGAUCUAUGGAUGAAAGCAGGGGACCUUCGGGCCUUGUGCUACUAGAGCGGCCGAUGGCAGAUUAGGUAGUUGGUGGGAUAAAAGCUUACCAAGCCUACGAUCUGUAGCUGGUCUGAGAGGACGAUCAGCCACACUGGGACUGAGACACGGCCCAGACUCCUACGGGAGGCAGCAGUGGGGAAUUUUGGACAAUGGGGGAAACCCUGAUCCAGCAAUGUCGCGUGCAGGAUGAAGGCCUUCGGGUUGUAAACUGCUUUUGUACGGAACGAAAAGUCUUGGGUUAAUACCCUGGGAUCAUGACGGUACCGUAAGAAUAAGCACCGGCUAACUACGUGCCAGCAGCCGCGGUAAUACGUAGGGUGCAAGCGUUAAUCGGAAUUACUGGGCGUAAAGCGUGCGCAGGCGGUUUUGUAAGACAGUGGUGAAAUCCCCGGGCUCAACCUGGGAACUGCCAUUGUGACUGCAAGGCUGGAGUGCGGCAGAGGGGGAUGGAAUUCCGCGUGUAGCAGUGAAAUGCGUAGAUAUGCGGAGGACACCGAUGGCGAAGCAAUCCCCUGAGCUGCACUGACGCUCAUGCACGAAGCGUGGGAGCAACAGGA